rnacentral:rRNA from 1 species
UACGGAGGGUCCAAGCGUUAUCCGGAAUCUGAUUGGAUUGAAGGUCCGCAGGCGGUCAAUUAAGUCAGAGGUGAAAUCCCGUCGCUCAACGACGGAACUGCCUUUGAUACUGGUUGACUUGAGUUAUAUGGAAGUAGAUAGAAUAAGUAGUGUAGCGGUGAAAUGCAUAGAGAUUACUUAGAAUACCGAUUGCGAAGGCA